UCCGGGAGAGUCGAUGUGGACUCGC
rnacentral:piRNA from 1 species